rnacentral:rRNA from 1 species
AUUGAACGCUGGCGGCAUGCUUUACACAUGCAAGUCGAACGGCAGCACGGGUGCUUGCACCUGGUGGCGAGUGGCGAACGGGUGAGUAAUGCAUCGGAACGUGCCCAUGAGUGGGGGAUAGCCCGGCGAAAGCCGGAUUAAUACCGCAUACGCCCUUAGGGGGAAAGCGGGGGAUCUUCGGACCUCGCGCUAUUGGAGCGGCCGAUGUCGGAUUAGCUAGUAGGUGAGGUAAAGGCUCACCUAGGCGACGAUCCGUAGCUGGUCUGAGAGGAUGAUCAGCCACACUGGGACUGAGACACGGCCCAGACUCCUACGGGAGGCAGCAGUGGGGAAUUUUGGACAAUGGGCGCAAGCCUGAUCCAGCCAUGCCGCGUGAGUGAAGAAGGCCUCGGGUUGUAAGACUCUUUCUAGGUGGAAAGAAUAAGACGCUGUUUAAU